GGAUCACACAAAUAAGGAUAUUGGUCUAAGAUUGCACAAUUGAGCUCGAGUAGUCUAAUGGAGUUAGGAUUAAUUAAAUUUUAAUUUUGGAUUUAAGAAAAUCAUACUAGCACAUAAUUAAAUCCAUUUUCUCCUUGAUUUGAGUUCCCUAUUGGAUAGGGCUUGAUCAAAUCAAAGCAAGCUCUUUAGGACAACAAGAGUUGGGACACCC
rnacentral:lncRNA from 1 species